rnacentral:rRNA from 1 species
AUGCUCUUCACUAUAGCAAUAGCCCCGCUGCAUUGGAUCUUCCAAAAAGCUUCCGAUUUGGGCCUGCUUACCCCCCUUGAUCUGCCUCCCUCCAAACUUCGAGUCAGCCUGUACGCCGAUGAUGCUGCCCUUUUCAUUCACCCUUCACCUCUAGAUGUCCUGUUGGUCAAAUUGAUCCUCACUUGCUUCGGCAAAGCCUCGGGUCUGCAUGCUAACACCAACAAGUGUGCGUUCUACCCUAUCCGCUGUGAGCACCUUCAUGUUCCUACACUGCUGCAAUCCUUCCCAGUAGUUAUCAAGUCCUUUCCUUGUGUCUACUUGGGCCUGCCGCUCCAUUACCGUGCUAUUUCCAAAGCUGACCUUCAACCACUCCUUGAUAAAAUAGCCGCUAAGCUUCAGAGAUGGAGAGGCAAACUCUUAUCGUAUGCUGCUCGGCUCACUCUCAUUGAUUCGGUCCUUUCGGCCAUUCCCAUAUAUCUUCUCUCCAUCUUCAAAGUUGGACGAUGGGACAUUAAGCAUAUCGAUAAGAUGAGAAGGAACUUUCUUUGGAAAGCUGACCUGGAUGCCAGCCGUGCCACCUGCCUAGUCAGUUGGAGGAAAGUUUGUCGCCCCAAACUUUUGGGGGGGGCUGGGCAUCAUUGA